rnacentral:rRNA from 1 species
GAUGCAGCCAUGCCGCGUGUGUGAGAAGGCCUUAGGGUUGUAAAGCUCUUUUUUCGGGGAGGAAAUCUCACGGUGUGUGCGGGUUAGCCGGGACUUUACCCCUAGAGAACGGCCGGCCCAUACCGGGCCCCCCGCCGCUAUAAUA